rnacentral:rRNA from 1 species
UACAGAGGGGGCAAGCGUUGUUCGGAAUUACUGGGCGUAAAGGGCGCGUAGGCGGCCUUCUAAGUCGAACGUGAAAUCCCUGGGCUCAACCCAGGAACUGCGUCCGAUACUGGGAGGCUUGAAUCCGGGAGAGGGAUGCGGAAUUCCAGGUGUAGCGGUGAAAUGCGUAGAUAUGUGGAGGAACACCGAUGGCGAAGGCAGCCCCCUGGGUUAACACUGACGCUCAUGCACGAAAGCGUGGGGAGCAAACAGG